rnacentral:misc_RNA from 1 species
AAUACGCAGACAAAGAAAAGAGAAGGAAAAUAAUGCUAUUUCUAUGUGAUUGAAGCAGAGGAAUAAUUAAAGUAACAACCAUUACAGUUACGAAACAGUAAAUAACGGCUACGUAACGGUCAUAACGACCGUUACACCUGCAACUCCAGAUUUGCUUGCAAAUAACGAUGUAUCCCGUAAAAGGCCCUUCCAAAACCUGUAAAUAA